rnacentral:tRNA from 1 species
GGCCUAAUAGCUUAACUGGUAAAGCGCCGGACUUUUAAUCCGGAAGAUGCUGGUUCAAGUCCGGCGAGGGCCACCA